ensembl:lncRNA
GUGCUGAGUGCCUGGUCCUGUGAGCAAAGGCCAGUGCCGGCCUGCCAGGGCUUGGGCAAAUGGAGGUGACAGGUUGUAUGGAUCCAGUGAAAUCUCUAUUGUUCCCUUCAGGCCAAAAGGAAGCAGGGCACGCCUGCAGGAAGCUCCUACUGGCUCAAGUCUGGACUUUAAGUGCUUCCAUAAGGAUAACAACUGCCAGGAAUGGAACUUCAAGAGAUUAUUUUGGCAAGUCUUGAGUUCCCGAUGCUCUUUCAUUGCAAAGUAACUCCUGGAUCACGGCUGGUUUUGUUUGUGGUCGGUUUCCUGGUGGUUUUGGAGGCUGAGGAUGAUCUCCACCCCUGGGGAAUUCAGGGGAAGCGUGGACCCUGAACCUCGGUACUCUGUCCUGCUACCCUUGGACGUGCCCCUUCACCAAAGGGCAGCCAUGGCACGAGGACCCUUAGGACACCAGGGACACAGCUAAGAACUGGAAGCGAAAGGAAACGAGGGAAGCAGUAUGUCCUCACCUCCACCACCACUGCCAAGGCACUGCCAAAGCUGUCCUGGACCUAGGGCACGGAGGGGUGCUUCGCUGGGACUUGGCGGCCUUCCAGGACUGACCAGGAGACACAAGGUGCCUAGAGACCAGGGGACACACCAGCAGGCAGAUCCCUGCCACGAGGGUCCCUCCUGAGUGCCACCAAGGGCUCUGACCCAAGAGUAGACCUGCCUGGGGGUGGGGGGCAGGGUGUGCAGAGAGAAGGCAAGAGGGGAGGAGGCGGGGCCACGCGCCCCGACGACACCCCGAGCAGAGCAGGUCCUGUCCUGGGCACAUUCAUGGGACGGGACAGGACAGGACAGGACAGGACAGGACAGGACAGGACAGGGAAGGGAUGAGGGUACUCUCCGAUGGCAAUUAAGGGAUGGUUGGGAGGGAGUGCCCCCUUGCUCCUGCGAUCCGUGCGGGUCAUCGGCACUUCCACAGGAAAGGAGAAGGAAAAGGAAAAGUACUGGCCAGGGCGCUGCUCCCAGGCACCUGCCCAAUCCUGCCUUCUAGACAGAGGCACACCCGCGCCAGAAGGCCUGAAAGUCAGGAAGCGAGUGCCAAAAGGAAGCAGGGCACGCCUGCAGGAAGCUCCUACUGGCUCAAGUCUGGACUUUAAGUGCUUCCAUAAGGAUAACAACUGCCAGGAAUGGAACUUCAAGAGAUUAUUUUGGCAAGUCUUGAGUUCCCGAUGCUCUUUCAUUGCAAAGUAACUCCUGGAUCACGGCUGGUUUUGUUUGUGGUCGGUUUCCUGGUGGUUUUGGAGGCUGAGGAUGAUCUCCACCCCUGGGGAAUUCAGGGGAAGCGUGGACCCUGAACCUCGGUACUCUGUCCUGCUACCCUUGGACGUGCCCCUUCACCAAAGGGCAGCCAUGGCACGAGGACCCUUAGGACACCAGGGACACAGCUAAGAACUGGAAGCGAAAGGAAACGAGGGAAGCAGUAUGUCCUCACCUCCACCACCACUGCCAAGGCACUGCCAAAGCUGUCCUGGACCUAGGGCACGGAGGGGUGCUUCGCUGGGACUUGGCGGCCUUCCAGGACUGACCAGGAGACACAAGGUGCCUAGAGACCAGGGGACACACCAGCAGGCAGAUCCCUGCCACGAGGGUCCCUCCUGAGUGCCACCAAGGGCUCUGACCCAAGAGUAGACCUGCCUGGGGGUGGGGGGCAGGGUGUGCAGAGAGAAGGCAAGAGGGGAGGAGGCGGGGCCACGCGCCCCGACGACACCCCGAGCAGAGCAGGUCCUGUCCUGGGCACAUUCAUGGGACGGGACAGGACAGGACAGGACAGGACAGGACAGGACAGGACAGGGAAGGGAUGAGGGUACUCUCCGAUGGCAAUUAAGGGAUGGUUGGGAGGGAGUGCCCCCUUGCUCCUGCGAUCCGUGCGGGUCAUCGGCACUUCCACAGGAAAGGAGAAGGAAAAGGAAAAGUACUGGCCAGGGCGCUGCUCCCAGGCACCUGCCCAAUCCUGCCUUCUAGACAGAGGCACACCCGCGCCAGAAGGCCUGAAAGUCAGGAAGCGAGUGUAAGUAAGGGACGGAAAGCGCAGAGCGAAAAGAAAGCAAAGGUGGAACUGAGGUGGAGCUGAAGCCUGAAGGUGAUCCCCGGGGCACUGUGUCCCAGGGGGGGCAGCUGGAACCUGUGGCCCCCUAGGGGAAGAGCCAUCACCCGAGGCAGAGCCGUCAGCCACUGAGGCAAGGGUUUGGAC